rnacentral:rRNA from 1 species
UACGAGGGGGGGCAAGCGUUGUUCGGAAUUAUUGGGCGUAAAGGGUGCGUAGGCGGUCUGAUAAGUCAUCUGUGAAAUCUAUGGGCUCAACCCAUAGUCUGCAGGCGAAACUGUCGGGCUUGAGUAUGGGAGAGGUGAGUGGAAUUUCCGGUGUAGCGGUGAAAUGCGUAGAUAUCGGAAGGAACACCUGUGGCGAAAGCGGCUCACUGGACCAUUACUGACGCUGAUGCACGAAAGCUAGGGGAGCAAACAGG